rnacentral:rRNA from 1 species
GACGAACGCUGGCGGCGUGCCUAAUACAUGCAAGUUGAGCGCUGAAGGUUGGUACUUGUACCCACUGGAUGAGCAGCGAACGGGUGAGUAACGCGUGGGGAAUCUGCCUUUGAGCGGGGGGCAACAUUUGGAAACGAAUGCUAAUACCGCAUAAAAACUUUAAACACAAGUUUUAAGUUUGAAAGAUGCAAUUGCAUCACUCAAAGAUGAUCCCGCGUUGUAUUAGCUAGUUGGUGAGGUAAAGGCUCACCAAGGCGAUGAUACAUAGCCGACCUGAGAGGGUGAUCGGCCACAUUGGGACUGAGACACGGCCCAAACUCCUACGGGAGGCAGCAGUAGGGAAUCCUCGGCAAUGGACGAAAGUCUGACCGAGCAACGCCGCGUGAGUGAAGAAGGUUUUCGGAUCGUAAAACUCUGUUGGUAGAGAAGAACGUUGGUGAGAGUGGAAAGCUCAUCAAGUGACGGUAACUACCCAGAAAGGGACGGCUAACUACGUG